UAGGGAAUCUUCCGCAAUGGACGCAAGUCUGACGGAGCAACGCCGCGUGAGUGAAGAAGGAUUUCGGUUCGUAAAACUCUGUUGUUAGAGAAGAACAGCGCAUAGAGUAACUGUUAUGCGUGUGACGGUAUCUAACCAGAAAGCCACGGCUAACUACGUGCCAGCAGCCGCGGUAAUACGUAGGUGGCAAGCGUUGUCCGGAUUUAUUGGGCGUAAAGCGAGCGCAGGCGGUUAAUUACGUCUGAUGUGAAAGCCCCCGGCUCAACCGGGGAGGGUCAUUGGAAACUCGUUGACUUACGUGCAGAGGAGGAGAGGGGAAUUCCAUUUGUAGCGGUGAAAUGCGUCGUUAUACGGGGGAACACCAGUGGCGAAGGUGACUCUCUGGACUGUAACUGACGCUGAGGCUCGAAAGCGUGGGUAGCAAACAGG
rnacentral:rRNA from 1 species